rnacentral:rRNA from 1 species
AGUGAACGCUGGCGAUAGACCUAACACAUGCAAGUCGAACGGCAGCACAGUAAGAGCUUGCUCUUACGGGUGGCGAGUGGCGGACGGGUGAGGAAUACAUCGGAAUCUACUUUUUCGUGGGGGAUAACGUAGGGAAACUUACGCUAAUACCGCAUACGACCUACGGGUGAAAGCAGGGGAUCUUCGGACCUUGCGCGAUUGAAUGAGCCGAUGUCGGAUUAGCUAGUUGGCGGGGUAAAGGCCCACCAAGGCGACGAUCCGUAGCUGGUCUGAGAGGAUGAUCAGCCACACUGGAACUGAGACACGGUCCAGACUCCUACGGGAGGCAGCAGUGGGGAAUAUUGGACAAUGGGCGCAAGCCUGAUCCAGCCAUACCGCGUGGGUGAAGAAGGCCUUCGGGUUGUAAAGCCCUUUUGUUGGGAAAGAAAAGCAGCAGGUUAAUACCCCGCUGUUCUGACGGUACCCAAAGAAUAAGCACCGGCUAACUUCGUG